GACGGAGGAUGCAAGCGUUAUCCGGAAUGAUUGGGCGUAAAGCGUCCGCAGGUGGCAGUUCAAGUCUGCUGUCAAAGACCGGGGCUUAACUUCGGAAAGGCAGUGGAAACUGAACAGCUAGAGUAUGGUAGGGGCAGAGGGAAUUCCUGGUGUAGCGGUGAAAUGCGUAGAGAUCAGGAAGAACAUCGGUGGCGAAGGCGCUCUGCUGGACCAUAACUGACACUCAGGGACGAAGGCCAGGGGAGCAAACGGG
rnacentral:rRNA from 1 species